rnacentral:rRNA from 1 species
GAUGAACGCUGGCGGCGUGCCUAACACAUGCAUGUCGAACGAAGCACCUUACCUGAUUCUUCGGAUGAAAGUUUGGUGACUGAGUGGCGGACGGGUGAGUAACGCGUGGGUAACCUGCCCUGUACAGGGGGAUAACAGCUGGAAACGGCUGCUAAUACCGCAUAAGCGCACGAGGAGACAUCUCCUUGUGUGAAAAACUCCGGUGGUACAGGAUGGGCCCGCGUCUGAUUAGCUGGUUGGCAGGGUAACGGCCUACCAAGGCAACGAUCAGUAGCCGGUCUGAGAGGAUGAACGGCCACAUUGGAACUGAGACACGGUCCAAACUCCUACGGGAGGCAGCAGUGGGGAAUAUUGCACAAUGGGGGAAACCCUGAUGCAGCAACGCCGCGUGAGUGAAGAAGUAUUUCGGUAUGUAAAGCUCUAUCAGCAGGGAAGAUAAUGACGGUACCUGACUAAGAAGCUCCGGCUAAAUACGU